GAGCCAGCAAUUAGAGACUAGUGCUUGCAGUACUCAAGGCUAGGCUUGGGCUUAGACCAGGCUCCACUUGUCUUGUGAGUCAUUACAAGUGUUCCCAGGGAUAAUCCCACAUUUCCCACCAAGCAGAACUCAGCUUGGUAACCCUUCAGUAAGCACUGAACACUGUAGUCCCCACUGGUUUAAACUACCUCUAAUCAGCUUCCCUUCUACUACAUGUCUUAGCUUUCUCUAUAGGUGUGUAGGGCCUGCCUAUAUACACCAUGCUCAGUACUAAUUGAGAAGACAAUGAAAAAGGUAUUGUAAAUUCCUAUAUGAAUGUUGAUCUAUUCUUGUGAUUGCCUCACCCCUCCAUAAAGGCAGGCAAAUACCAAGAGUAGCUCUGGAUUACUAAUAUAAAACCUGAAAUGCACUUACCUUUUCAGUGUACUUUUGUUGGUUUUGAAGACACUUUCUAGUGGAAGAUUCCCUGCCCAUGGCAGGCAGGGUGGACUAGAUGAUUUUAAGGUCUCUUCCAACCCAAACCAUUCUAUGAUUCCAUGAAACUGUGUUGUUGUGAACAAGUAGAUUGAAACAUCUCAUUGGGAGUAGUGAGUUUAAUGUGGAAUGGUCUCACAAAGCAAAUAUGGAGUUUCUUGGCAAGAAAUGUCUUCCAAAACUGCAUUAUUUUUGGCUGGAGAAUGGAAGCAAGAUUAUAUGUGUUACAAAACACAUGUAAGGAAGUCAUUGUAGAUAGGUUCCAGAUCAAGACUAUUCACAUGGAUUAUUCAGUGGAUUGUUUUAGUUGAAUAAAAGCGAGUUAGAAAGGACAGGGAUGAGCUAUCAAAUAUUUGGAGACAAUUCACUAAAGUGUAAUUUAUCUUCAUGUUUGAGUUAUUUUGCUUGUUUUCUGUAAGAAAAUUUCCUGUGAAUAGGGGCCAUGGCAUUGACUUCUGCAGAUUUUUAUUCCUUUAUGAAUCACAUUAUAAACCCACUUUGUUUUCAAAACAAUUUUCAUUACAGUUGUGACUGUUUUCAUUAUGGGAAGCACUGGAUUAAGAGAAAAUUGUGAUAUUAGUGACAGGUAUGAAGCCCAGGAGAGAAUUGUUCAGUGAAAUGACUGGUGCUGAAGGUUUCUAUCACUUCUGACCACUUGUGACCAGGAAUUGGUUUGGGAGAAGUUACAGAGAAGGCAACACUGAAGAAAAUAAGGAAAUUUGGAAAGGUUAACAGGUUUCUUGUCAAAGAAGAGCUGAGAAAUAUGCAGGCUCAACUUUCUAGUCCUCCAUACUAAAGAAAAAAAGGAAAAAAAAUAGUAUUUUUCCAGAUAAAAACAUUAGCAGACGUAUCCUGAUUCUGCCAUCAAUAUCAAACUACUUUUCUUUGUGUAUCAGUUUCUUCUUUGCAAAAUGAGGAUAAGGCUGUUGGGCAGUUUUUGUAAGGUGGUUUGAGAUCUGUACCAGUAAGUGCAGGCUAACACAGCACUACUCUCCUUUGAUGCUGGAUGUUCACCAUGAUGCAGGAUGAAAAAGUUUCUGGCUAAAUGGUCAUAAGACAUAGGAGCAUGUGACACAAACAGUGACAUUUCUGGUUUUGCAUAAAUUCAUGUGAUUUAUUGUUUCCUUUUAUAUUUUUUUUCACCAUGGGAGAAAAUCAGGCAAUUGCUUUUUCCAGAGCUGAGGUAUAAGCUACAAAGCUGAUUCUGAUAAAAAAAAAUAGACUAUGGUCUCUAGAUGAUUGAUCAAAGCAGGUGAUUUUGAACUUGAUUUUAAUCUAUUAUUUAAACAAUGUGCUAAAUAAAAAAGUGCUUGAAUAAUUUCACAUUUGUUUUCCCUUUAUAGUUCUUAGUGUUUUGGUUUUUUAAAAAAAUUAUAUUCACUGUAAACAAAUAAAUUUGUAGCUUUUACUCUGACUUUCACAGGCCUGUUGACAUCACUUCUUGAGCCAUUGCACAUAGGAGUAGAGUUCACAUGGUACCACUAACAGCUCUGCUUUCUCCCAGAAGUGUCAGAUCUCCUGUUUGUGUGUUGUAAAGGCCUCUUCUGUGUGGGUGUGAAUGGAUUCCAUAGGCAUUUAUGUAUGGCGGGUACCAGAAAAAAGCAAGUCAAACAGGGCAAAAGAGCAUGCUGAAAAAGCUCAUGUCUGAAAGUGUCUCCAAACUUGAUUAGCUCCAGAGUCAGUAGUGCUGUGGAAUCCACAAGCAUGGAUAUAUUAGCAUGUGAGGCAGCCAAAUUUGUUGAAGGCUGCUAGGCCUCCAGCAACCAUCAGGAUAAACAGCGGGGUGCCUAACUCACAUGGCACCUGAGGCAGUGCUCUCUGCAGAAAGCAUCUACUUUCAGAAAGAGACCACUAGAAAAACUUUCUGAACCCCUGCUAGCCCUGUUGUAUCAGUACAAUUUUCUGCUUUGAUGGAAUUGCUAGUGUUGCCCUCCCAGCUGUUGCUCCAGACUGGGAACUACCAGUUAAUGUGUAGUUGUGAGCUUUGUGAAGGGAAUGUAUUGCGUGUAGUUUUCUGUCAUUGAAAUUAACAGCUUGAUUUUAUUAUUAACAGCAGCUUUAUUUAAAAUAAAAAAAUGUCCUUGCAAAUAUGGGUUCUGAUGUUUGUCUUGCUUCAAUUUGAUAUUUUCAACAUAUGCACUGGGUAAUCCAGGCACACAGAGAAAUCUGUCUAAGUUCCUCAAUGAUUUCUGGCAGGUAAUGGGAUCAGAACAAGCCUGGAGGACCAGCCAGGGUACUUCAGUGAUGCAUACAGGGACUGUAUGUCACGGAUAGGGCCUUCCUGUAAUUCUGUUCAUAUACAUUUGUAAAAUUAAUUAUACAGACUUAUUUAGACUGGUCAGGUUAUUUUUCUGGAUGCCACAUUUCUUACAUACUAAGAUGUGGGUAGUUUUUUCUUCCUCUUUUUUUUUUUUGCUGUUGCAGUUUUUUAAUUUGGCAAGCUGGGUUUUGGAAAAAAUGAUAAUCUAUUAAAAGUUGUCAAUAAAUCAUUAAAAUUUUAUUAAAAUGUCUGGAAUAUGUUAUGAACAUUCACUAACUUAAAGAAUUAUUAAAAUAUAAGCAUUUUAUUAGUAUUUGGACAUUUCAUUAUUAGAUAUCUAAAUCCUGAAGAGCAGAAGCAACAGUGAUAUGCUGAAGGACAGAAAAUUUUAUAUGAAAGAAGGAAGGACAUCAACAGGAUAAAGAUUUGAGUGUUCUAUUACAAGAAAUGCAGGAUGAGGAAAAGAAGAAGAGAACUGUUCACGCCAAAAUCACAGAUUUGCUCACUCACUCUUGUUCCAGACCAAGCAUCAUCCCCAGAGAUAUAAUUUCUCCAUCAUCUUCUUUUACAAAUUAAAUCCAUACACAAAGAA